ACAACUGCAGCAACAACAACGGGUUAGUCACGCGAACGACUAGCCUAUUCGAUUAUUAUUCGAGCAAAUCGCACAAGGAUAAAUUAUAAUAGUCAUCAUGGGAUUGCAUUUAAAUGAUUCAAAAAAAUAAUGAUUACGAGUUGGAAACUAACUAGUUAGUCACAUCGAACGUGCUCGAUUUUGUGAUCACCAUUUAUAAAGAAGCAGCAAGAGGUAGAAAAAAAGGAUAUUGAACAGUAUGGGUAACAGAAGAGGAAAGAUCAAGAGGAUGAAUAAGAAAGAUUCAGAGGUGGAGGAAGAAAUCGGGGUUGCUGCGAUAGCGAAGGUGGAGAGGAUGAGGCUAUUCGGGAGACUGAAGAGGCCGAAGCUAUGAAGAACGGAGCACGAUCUUUCCUUGUCAUCGUGACCGUCUCUGGCUGAUUUUUAAACAAGGAGGCGAAUUCAAACGGCAUUGUGUCGUCACGUGCAACCACUCGCUCUCUCUCAACAGAACGUUGUUAGAACCUCUUUCCUCUGUAUAACCGCAAAACUUUCAUAUAUUGUCUCUUCUCCCCGUUUUCUUAUUUUA